CACUAUCUCUCUAUUCAACUGACGAGCAAAAAGGAAGAAGAAAAGAAAAACUGUAAAUUCCAGAACCCCCCUUUGAUUUGAUACUCCCCACAAAAUAAAUACUUCGUAGUCACAAUUCCGAUGGGUAUGAUCAGAACCUGAGGAAUUUGGUUCUAUUAUUGUUCUCCUGGAUAAUUGAAUAAGAAAUCACCGUAAACAGUCGUAAUAGAUCCUGCCAACAAUUGUUUGUUUCUGAUCAAAGGAGUUCCUAUAUAUUAAAUUUUCAGCAAUCUUCAAGUGUUGGGCUCAAUUUUGAUUAAGUUGGAAUUUUAUCGAACAAAUUUAAUCACGAUCAAAACUACCUCCCACUUCCAGUGUUAUCUUACUGUUCAAUAUCUUCUUGCUGAAUCAGUUCGUCAAGCAUCUUCGUUUCACACCCAGGGAAAUUGUUACUCACUAAAUUAGAUGCAUUGUUUGCUUACGACAUUUGAUAUACUGCAUUUGCAGAAAUGCCAAGAAGAAAUUCAUCACAAAUUUUCAACCUCUUGCAAAACUUUAGGUUUGCACUCUGAAGUUCUCUGACGUCUUCGCUGCAAGUUUUAUUAUUGCUAACGGUAACAGACAACGAGUUGGACAUAACACCUGUAGAGUUCAAACUAUUCCUGUGUAUUCUCGGGAGCAAUUCCUAAAUUCCAAGAGCACGAUUUUUUUUUCCAAGAAAAUGAUGUUAAAUGGUCCAUCGGAAGACAAACAAUACAUAAGCCCUUAAUCCAAUCAACUGGUGAGAAAGAUAUUCAUGAGUUGGGUCCUCUCAAAUGGAAGAGGGAUGCAAGCUGCUUUGGCCUAGCACUACUGCUGCAGUGAGUUGGUAUUGUCCACUAUGUUUCUGUUGGUUAGUGGAUGCCAGAUAUCCCUUCAGAAUGUCUGACUUCAAAAACACCACCAACAACAAAAAAGGUCACGGGAUUGUUGGUAAAGACAGUUUGAUUUGUAGGCUUUCUCAAGUGUAUUUCAUUCCUAAUUAGUUAUUUACCAUUCUUUCUCUAAUUUGCUUUAGUAUCUCAUGUUGGAUUAGAUUAUUCAUUGUAAAAUAGAAUUCCAUUACUACUAUUCUUUCUCUACAUGUGCUAUAGUAUCUCAUGUUGGAAGAGAUUAUUCACUGUGAAAUAGAAUUCCAUUACUACUGUGAAUGUGAUUAUACCACGUUCUUUCCUUCAUUACUGAUUCCCAUCUGUAAUAACUGAAAUGUUGUGGUGGGUAAAUACAGGCAUUUUUUUCGUCAACAAAGUUUACCAGUUGCAAUGGAAAUUGAUAGAGUAUGAAACAUAGUAUGCUUAGUUUAAGUUGGAUUACGGAAAUGGCAGUAUUCGAUGUCUAAGCCUUGGACAAAACCAUCUGCCAUCUCAAGAAGCAUGGCCUGGAAAGGAUUCUUACCACAUAUCCCUCGCCGCUGGUAAGAUUGUUAUGAACAUGUUUUCGGGUUUAAUUUCUUUUUACCGGGUUAAUGCGGUAGUGGCGACUCUCUCGAAUAUGCGUGGAUUGAGAUGGCCGCUACUAUUGGAGCAACAUAGAGUCUCUCGGCUUCAGGAUUUCAGAUUUAGAUGCUCUUAGAGUUUCGGUUGUUGUACAUUUUAACUUUUAAGUUGUUUAUUCUACUAUCAAAUUUUAGAUUUUACAUUUUUAAGUGUAGGAUGUUUGCUGUAUCAAACUGGAUGAUUCAUUAAUAAUUGAUUUCAAAUUUUUUUGGAGUA